AAGACCUUGCGCUUUUGGAGCGGCCGAUGCCUGAUUAGCUUGUUGGUAAGGUAAAAGCUUACCAAGGCUUCGAUCAGUAGCUGGUCUGAGAGGACGGCCAGCCACACUGGGACUGAGACACGGCCCAGACUCCUACGGGAGGCAGCAGUGGGGAAUUUUGGACAAUGGGGGCAACCCUGAUCCAGCCAUGCCGCGUGAGUGAAGAAGGCCUUCGGGUUGUAAAGCUCUUUCAGCCGGAACGAAACGGUUACGGUUAAUACCCGUGACUACUGACGGUACCGGAAGAAGAAGCACCGGCUAACUACGUGCCAGCAGCCGCGGUAAUACGUAGGGUGCAAGCGUUAAUCGGAAUUACUGGGCGUAAAGCGUGCGCAGGUGGUUUUGUAAGUCAGAUGUGAAAUACCCCGGGCUUAACCUGGGAACU
rnacentral:rRNA from 1 species